CGAAGGAGUGGAUACUUUCCGAUCGGAGACCGGAGUACCAGGCCCUGGCAGCCUUGCGGAGCGUGGCGGGGAAGCCGAUGCAAAGGAGAGCGUCGGUUGCCCCUUGAAUCGUCAUGAGAGCUUUGUAGCUUUCCAGAUGGUCGAUUGGGUCGGUGGAGCCGUCGUAAGACUCCACGUGCGGCAUCUUGAACCGACUGGGGAUCGGUUUGUCGAGGAUGAGUCGGGAGAGAGGUUGGGCGGUCUGGAAGUUGACGUCGUUUGAAGACUUCUGUCCGUCCACCUGCAGCUGCGCGAGCCGACGGUCGAUUUUCUCGAACCGGCGCUCGUAGUCGUCCGCUCGUCGG
rnacentral:lncRNA from 1 species